rnacentral:tRNA from 1 species
CGGUUCGAAACCGGGCGGAAACAGUGCUCUUUGACACGUGCAGUAGGUACUGUACUUUCAACAAAGAAUUGUUAUUUUCAUGAAUUCUGUAUUUUGGAAAUUCGAAUAAGUGCCAUGAAUAUCUGUAAAAUUCGGUUUACUCCUUGCAGAUAGUUGUUGAAGCAGUUUCUGUAGUGUAGUGGUUAUCACGUUCGCUUAACACGCGAAAGGUCCUCGGUUCCAAACCGGGCGGAAACAGAGCUCUUUGACACGUGCAGUAGGUACUGUACUUUCAACAAAGAAUUGUUAUUUUCAUAAAUUCUGUAUUUUGGAAAUUCGAAUACGUGCCCUGAAUAUCUGUAAAAUUCGGUUUACUUCUUGCAGGAAAAUCAAGCAGCAGUUUCUGUAGUGUAGUGGUUAUCACGUUCGCUUUACAUGCGAAAGGUCCUCGGUUCGAAACCGGGCGGAAACAGAGCUCUUUGACACGUGCAGUAGGUACUGUACUUUCAACAAAGAGUUGUUAUUUUCAUAAAUUCUGUAUUUUGGAAAUUCGAAUACGUGCCCUGAAUAUCUGUAAAAUUCGGUUUACUUCUAGCAGGAAAAUCAAGCAGCAGUUUCUGUAGUGUAGUGGUUAUCACGUUCGCUUUACACGCGAAAGGUCCUCGGUUUGAAACCGGGCGGAAACAGUGCUCUUUGACACGUGCAGUAGGUACAGUACUUUUAAAAGAGAAUAGUUAUUUUCAUAAAUGCCUAAUUUUGGAAAUUUGAACACGUGCCAUGAAUAUCUGUAAAAUUCGGUUUAC